AAGCUCGUAGUUGAACCUUGGGCCUGGCUGGCCGGUCCGCCUCACCGCGUGCACUGGUUCGGCCGGGCCUUUCCCUCUGGGGAACCUCAUGCCCUUCACUGGGUGUGAUGGGGAACCAGGACUUUUACUGUGAAAAAAUUAGAGUGUUCAAAGCAGGCCUAUGCUCGAAUACAUUAGCAUGGAAUAAUAGAAUAGGACGUGUGGUUCUAUUUUGUUGGCUUCUAGGACCGCCGUAAUGAUUAAUAGGGACAGUCGGGGGCAUUAGUAUUCAAUUGUCAGAGGUGAAAUUCUUGGAUUUAUUGAAGACGAACUACUGCGAAAGCAUUCGCCAAGGAUGUUUUCAUUAAUCAGUGAACGAAAGUUAGGGGAUCGAAGACGAUCAGAUACCGUCGUAGUCUUAACCAUAAACUAUGCCGACUAGGGAUCGGACGGUGGUUUUUUUAUGCCCCGUUCG
rnacentral:rRNA from 1 species